GGUGGGGUUCCCGAGCGGCCAAAGGGGGCAGACUGUAAAUCUGCCGUCAUCGACUUCGAAGGUUCGAAUCCUUCCCCCACCACCA
rnacentral:tRNA from 3 species